rfam:Echinicola vietnamensis DSM 17526, complete genome.
GAGCAAGUGAACAAGGGCGCACGGGGGAUGCCUAGGCUCUCAGAGGCGAAGAAGGACGUGCCAAGCUGCGAAAAGCUGCGGGGAUCGGCACAGGCGACAUGAUCCGCAGAUGUCCGAAUGGGGCAACCCAUCCCGAUAGAUCGGGAUAUCCAUAUAAAUGGAGGCGAACGUGGGGAACUGAAACAUCUAAGUACCCAUAGGAGGAGAAAACAACAGUGAUUCCGUGAGUAGUGGCGAGCGAAAGCGGAGCAGCCCAAACCGUACAUGUUACGGCAUGUACGGGGUAAUAGGACCUGCACAAACUUUGUACAACGAACGUGAACCGUCUGGGAAGUCGGGCCAUAGCGGGUGAAAGCCCCGUAACGGAAAGUUUUACAAAGUGGCGGGUAUCCUGAGUAGGCCGGGACAGGAGAAAUCCCGGUUGAAUUUGCCGGCACCAUCCGGUAAGGCUAAAUACUCCUGAGAGACCGAUAGUGAACAAGUACCGUGAGGGAAAGGUGAAAAGUACCGUGAACAACGGGGUGAAACAGAACCUGAAACCGUGCGCCUACAAGCGGUCGGAGUCCGCCGCAAGGUCGGAUGACGGCGUGCCUUUUGCAUAAUGAGCCUACGAGUUGCUCCUCACUGGCGAGGGUAAGGCAUUAAGUGCCGUACCCGGAGCGAAAGCGAGUCUGAACAGGGCGUAUAGUCAGUGGGGGCAGACGCGAAACCUGGUGAUCUACCCAUGGGCAGGUUGAAGCUCCGGUAAAACGGAGUGGAGGACCGAACCGAUAAGCGUUGAAAAGCUUCCGGAUGACCUGUGGGUAGGGGUGAAAGGCCAAUCAAACCGGGAAAUAGCUCGUACUCCCCGAAAUGUUUUUAGGAACAGCGUCAGGGAACGUAUUACGGAGGUAGAGCUACCGAUAGGACUAGGGGGAGUCACAUCCUACCAAAUCCUGACGAACUCCGAAUGCCGUGAUACGGUACUGGCAGUGAGGGCUGGGGUGCUAAGGUCCCAGUCCGAGAGGGAAAGAACCCGGACCUUCCGCUAAGGUCCCCAAAUAUGUGCUAAGUUGAACAAAGGUGGUCCAGUUGCCGAGACAGCCAGGAGGUUAGCUUGGAAGCAGCUAUUCCUUUAAAGAGUGCGUAACAGCUCACUGGUCGAGCGGCAGGGCGUCGAUGAUAAUCGGGCAUCAAGCACAUUACCGAAGCGAAGGACUGUACGAAGUACAGUGGUAGGGGAGCAUUCCAACAGCGGCAAAGGGACAUCGUAAGGUGUUCUGGAGCGGUUGGAAAAGCAAAUGUAGGCAUAAGUAACGAUAAGGCGGGCGAGAAACCCGCCCACCGAUAGACCAAGGUUUCCUGAUCAACGCUAAUCGGAUCAGGGUCAGUCGGGACCUAAGGCGAACCCGAAAGGGGCAGUCGAUGGACAACGGGUCAAUAUUCCCGUACCGUACAUACAGGUGAAGGAGGGACGGAGCGAUGAAAGUCCCGCCCGGUGACGGAAUACCGGGUUGAAGGGUGUAGGUAUUGGAGGUACAGUCAAAUGCGUACCUUUAGCCGAACCUGAGAGUACCGCAAUCCUUCGGGAGCGCGGAUAGCGGACCUAAGGACUUCCAAGAAAAUCUUCUAGCGUCAAGCGUAUGUACGCCCGUACCGCAAACCGACACAGGUGGUCAAGGAGAGAAUCCUGAGGUGCUCGAGUGAAUCAUGGCCAAGGAACUCGGCAAAAUGGCCCUGUAACUUCGGGAGAAGGGGCGCCUACUCGCCUGAAGGCGAGAGGCCGCAGUGAAAAGGCCCAGGCGACUGUUUAUCAAAAACACAUGGCUUUGCGAAGUGGAGACACAAAGUAUAAGGCCUGACACCUGCCCGGUGCCGGAAGGUUAAGGGGGGGCGUUAUCCCGGUUUAUAUCGGGAGAAGCGCUGAACUGAAGCCCCGGUAAACGGCGGCCGUAACUAUAACGGUCCUAAGGUAGCGAAAUUCCUUGUCGGGUAAGUUCCGACCUGCACGAAUGGUGUAACGAUCUGGGCACUGUCUCGGCCAUGAGCUCGGUGAAAUUGUAGUCGCGGUGAAGAUGCCGCGUACCCGCAACGGGACGGAAAGACCCCAUGAACCUUUACUGCAGCUUAGCAUUGGCAUUGGGCAAACAAUGUGUAGGAUAGGCCGGAGGCCGUGAAGGGGCGUCGCCAGGCGUUCCGGAGCCACUGUUGAAAUACGGCCCUUUGUUUGUCCGGUGUCUAACCCGCCAGAGGCGGGGACAUUGCUUGGUGGGUAGUUUGACUGGGGUGGUCGCCUCCAAAAGGAUAACGGAGGCUUCCAAAGGUUCCCUCAGCACGCUUGGUAACCGUGCGCGGAGUGCAAUAGCAUAAGGGAGCUUGACUGCGAGGCCGACAAGCCGAGCAGGGUGGAAACACGGGUAUAGUGAUCCGGCGGUACCGUAUGGAAGGGCCGUCGCUCAAAGGAUAAAAGGUACUCUGGGGAUAACAGGCUGAUCUCCCCCAAGAGCUCAUAUCGACGGGGAGGUUUGGCACCUCGAUGUCGGCUCGUCACAUCCUGGGGCUGGAGAAGGUCCCAAGGGUUGGGCUGUUCGCCCAUUAAAGUGGCACGCGAGCUGGGUUCAGAACGUCGUGAGACAGUUCGGUCCCUAUCUGUUGCGGGCGUGGGAAACUUGAGAGGAUCUGACCUUAGUACGAGAGGACCGGGUUGGACGGACCGCUGGUGUACCGGUUGUGGUGCCAACUGCACUGCCGGGUAGCUACGUCCGGAAGGGAUAAGCGCUGAAAGCAUCUAAGUGCGAAACCCACCUCGAGAUGAGGUUUCCGUACAGGGUUGUCAUAGACGAUGACGUUGAUAGGCUGCAGGUGUAAAGCCGGAGACGGCAUAGCUGAGCAGUACUAAUAGCCCGAAAGCUUGCCUGU